rnacentral:rRNA from 1 species
UACCAGCACCCCGAGUGGUCGGGACGAUUAUUGGGCCUAAAGCAUCCGUAGCCGGUCAUGCAAGUCCUCCGUUAAAUCCACCUGCUUAACAGAUGGGCUGCGGAGGAUACUACAAGGCUAGGAGGCGGAAGAGGCAAGCGAUACUCAGUGGGUAGGGGUAAAAUCCUCUGAUCCAUUGAAGACCACCAGCGGCGAAGGCGGCUUGCCAAUACGCGCUCGACGGUGAGGGAUGAAAGCUGGGGGAGCAAACCGGG